GGGGGGGGGGGGGGGGGGGGGGGGGGGGGGGGGGGGGGGGGGGGGGGGGUGAGGGGGUGCGGUGCGGGGGGGCGAGGGGCGGGCGGGGGGGGGAUACGUCGGAAUCGAGUCUUGCGGGGGGGGGGAAGGAGGGGAACUUACGCUUAUAGCGCAUCCGACCUACGGGUGGGAGCAGGGGGUCUUCGGACCUAGCGCGAUUGAAUGAGCCGAUGUCGGAUUAGCUCGUAGGCGGGGUUAAGGCACACCAAGGCGACGCUCCGUAGCUGGUCUGAGAGGAGGAUCAGCCACACUGGAACUGAGACACGGUCCAGACUCCUACGGGAGGCAGCAGUGGGGAAUAUUGGACAAUGGGUGCAAGCCUGAUCCAGCCAUACCGCGUGGGUGAAGAAGGCCUUCGGGUUGUAAAGCCCUUUUGUUGGGAAAGAAAAGCAGCAGGUUAAUACCCCGCUGUUCUGACGGUACCCAAAGAAUAAGCACCGGCUAACUUCGUG
rnacentral:rRNA from 1 species